GACGUAGGGCGCGAGCGUUGUCCGGAUUUAUUGGGCGUAAAGAGCUCGUAGGCGGCUUGUCGCGUCGUCCGUGAAAACCAGGGGCUCAACCCCUGGCUUGCGGUCGAUACGGGCAGGCUAGAGUUCGGUAGGGGAGACUGGAAUUCCUGGUGUAGCGGUGAAAUGCGCAGAUAUCAGGAGGAACACCAGUGGCGAAGGCGGCUCACUGGCCCGGUACUGACGCUGAGGCGCGAAAGCAUGGGGAGCGAACAGG
rnacentral:rRNA from 1 species